rnacentral:rRNA from 1 species
GCUUACGGCCACACCACGCAGGGCACGCCUGAUCUCGUUUGAUCUCGGAAGCCAAUCUGCGUCGGGCCUGGUUAGUACUUGGACGGAAGCACUGAAUUGUUUGAUUGCACGUAGACU